CCUGGCUUUAGAAGAAGUACAAAUAAGAUGUGAAACGUUUAGUGUCCCUUUUGGGAAACGCCACAGAGUUAUCCAGAGCUGCUACACAAGUGCUAGCUCUGAAUUGGGAUGACAUAGUCUAUGAACCAUGUUUGAAUCUGAAAACUACGCUUGAUUUCUGUAAGCACAGAUACAACAUCAGUACAUCUCCAUGCUGGUUUGAUCUGAUAAAAAUCAAAGCAGCUUAAAACGAGAGUUUGCACAAGUGUCUCACCUUGGCUUUAAGUAUUCACAAGACUUCAGCUCUUGAUUUUUAUCAUUACUGGAAAGUGAGAAUACCUUCGUGCCACCAACCUUCUUUUUUAAAAUAAUGGGAAAG
rnacentral:lncRNA from 14 species